rnacentral:rRNA from 1 species
GACGAACGCUGGCGGCGUGCUUAACACAUGCAAGUCGAACGGAAAGGCCCUGCUUGUGUGGGGUGCUCGAGGGGCGAGCGGGUGAGUAACACGUGAGUAACCUGCCCUUGACUUGGGGAUACCUUCAGGAAACGGGGGCUAAUACCGGAUAGGAGCUCCUGCUGCAUGGGGGGGGUUGGAAAGUUUCGGCGGUUGGGGAUGGACUCGCGGCUUACCAGCUGGUUGGUGGGGUAGUGGCUAACCAAGGCUUUGGCGGGUAGCCGGCCUGAGAGGGUGACCGGCCACAUUGGGACUGAGAUACGGCCCAGACUCCUACGGGAGGCAGCAGUGGGGAAUAUUGCACAAUGGGCGGAAGCCUGAUGCAGCAACGCCGCGUGCGGGAUGACGGCCUUCGGGUUGUAAACCGCUUUCGGCUGGGACGAAGCGUGAGUGACGGUAACGGGAAAAGAAGCACCGGCUAACUACGUG